rnacentral:rRNA from 1 species
GACGAACCGUGCGAACGUUGUUCGGAUUCACUGGGCUUAAAGGGCGCGUAGGCGGGCGGUCAAGUCCGGGGUGAAAUCUUUCAGCUCAACUGGAAAAGUGCCUUGGAUACUGAUCGCCUCGAGGGAGGUAGGGAGCAUGUGGAACUUCCGGUGGAGCGGUGAAAUGCGUAGAUAUCGGAAGGAACGCCGGUGGCGAAAGCGACGUGCUGGACCUCUUCUGACGCUGAGGCGCGAAAGCGUGGGGAGCGAACAGG